rnacentral:misc_RNA from 1 species
CCCAACAAAAAAAAAAGUAUGAGGGUGCGGGGUGCUGGCAACAGCGCCCCUCCCCCAAGUAUCUUUUUUUUUUUUCUUCACCCAUGUCUUUUGCGCACUUUUUGUUUCCUGGGCGAGUUCGCUCGCCACCAGGACCCAACCAUAAACCUUUUUUUUAUGCAGUUGCUAUCAGCGUCAGUAUAAUAAUUCAAUUUAUUAAAACUUUCAACAACGGAUCUCUUGGUUCUGGCAUCGAUGAAGAACGCAGCGAAAUGCGAUACGUAGUGUGAAUUGCAGAAUUCAGUGAAUCAUCGAAUCUUUGAACGCACAUUGCGCCCUUUGGUAUUCCAAAGGGCAUGCCUGUUCGAGCGUCAUUUGUACCCUCAAGCUUUGCUUGGUGUUGGGCGUCUUUUUUGUCUCUUCCUCGUGGGGAGACUCGCCUUAAAACAAUUGGCAGCCGGCCUACUGGUUUCGGAGCGCAGCACAAAUUUGCGCUUUCCCAUUCCACAGGGCGGCAUCCAGCAAGCCUUUUGUUGGUCUACAACAAAAUCCACAUUUGACCUCGGAUCAGGUAGG